UUUGAGAGGAGCUGUCCUUAGUACGAGAGGACCGGGAUGGACGCACCGCUGGUGUACCAGUUGUUCUGCCAAGGGCAUCGCUGGGUAGCUAUGUGCGGACGGGAUAAGUGCUGAAAGCAUCUAAGCAUGAAGCCCCCCUCAAGAUGAGAUUUCCCAUUCCGCAAGGAAGUAAGAUCCCUGAAAGAUGAUCAGGUUGAUAGGUCUGAGGUGGAAGUGUGGCGACACAUGGAGCUGACAGAUACUAAUCGAUCGAGGACUUAACCACAUUU
rnacentral:rRNA from 1 species